CUCACUAAAAUCAGAAAUUGCUCUCUAAAAUGAAAAAGAGCUCUCCUUCUAUCACAUUUGUCUCUCAUUUCCUUACUCCUCUUCACCCUUAGCCGCGCAACCACACACACCUUCCUCUGCAAAAAUCCGAAAACAGCCCUACCACAGAGGUUCUCGAUCUGGAAGUUUAGCCAUGACAAGGAAAACGCAAACCAGCUACAACCUGGCAGAUCUGGUUCCUGCAAAAGAUCUGUGACAGACCCGAGAAAGAACUCUCAAACUGAACAUCCACUGGACAUAAAGCAUGGCCCAUCAUGAAGGUUUUGAUCUUUCGAUUAUGAAGGAAAUGUGGUCACUGAUGGAUCCGUGGGAAAUAAAAUGGACGGCGAAACCUCAGCUGCAAUAG